UACGGAGGGUGCAAGCGUUAUCCGGAUUCACUGGGUUUAAAGGGUGCGUAGGCGGGCAGGUAAGUCAGUGGUGAAAUCUCCGGGCUUAACCCGGAACUGCCGUUGAUACUAUCUGUCUUGAAUAUCGUGGAGGUAAGCGGAAUAUGUCAUGUAGCGGUGAAAUGCUUAGAUAUGACAUAGAACACCAAUUGCGAAGGCAGCUUACUACACGAUCAUUGACACUGAGGCACGAAAGCGUGGGGAGCAAACAGG
rnacentral:rRNA from 1 species